CAUUAAGAAGCUAACCCCGAAGCGUUAACCUUUUAAGUUAAAGAACGGGAGUGUUAACCUCCCCUUAAUGA
rnacentral:tRNA from 1 species